GACGAACGCUGGCGGCGUGCCUAAUACAUGCAAGUCGAACGCAGUGGGGACGGGUGCGUAACACGUGGGUAACCUCCCAUCAGAGGGGAUAACACUUGGACACAGGUGCUAAACCGAUACUGAUGGAUGGUCCCGCGGUGCAUUAGCUUGUUGGGGAGGUAACGGCUCACCAAGUCCACGAUGCAUAGCCGACCGGAGAGGGUGAUCGGCCACACUGGAACUGAGACACGGCCCAGACUCCUACGGGAGGCAGCAGGAGGGAAUCGUCGGCAAUGGACGAAAGUCUGACCGAGCAACGCCGCGUGAGUGAAGAAGGUUUUCGGAUCGUAAAACUCUGUUGUUAGAGAAGCGGUAGCUAACCAGAAAGCCACGGCUAACUACGUGCCAGCAGCGGCGGUAAUAC
rnacentral:rRNA from 1 species